GACGAACGCUGGCGGCGUGCUUAACACAUGCAAGUCGAACGGAAAGGCCUGCUUUCCCUUGUGGAUUGCGGGUGCUCGAGUGGCGAACGGGUGAGUAACACGUGAGUGAUCUGCCCCCAACUUGGGUAUAAGCCUGGGAAACUGGGUCUAAUUCCCGAUAGGACUGCAGGGUGGUGCCUGUGGUGGAAAACGAUUUUCUAGUGGUUGGGGAUGAGCUCGCGGCCUAUCAGCUUGUUGGUGGGGUAAUGGCCUACCAAGGCGGCGACGGGUAGCCGGCCUGAGAGGGUGGACGGCCACAUUGGGACUGAGAUACGGCCCAGACUCCUAUGGGAGGCAGCAGUGGGGAAUAUUGCACAAUGGGCGGAAGCCUGAUGCAGCGACGCCGCGUGGGGGAUGACGGCCUUCGGGUUGUAAACUCCUUUCGACCGCGAGGAAGCCACCUGGUUGGAAGGGUGGUGACGGUAGUGGUAGAAGAAGCACCGGCUAACUACGUG
rnacentral:rRNA from 1 species